rfam:Myotis brandtii contig211816, whole genome shotgun sequence.
CCAAAGGCUCUUUUCAGAGCCACCCACAAGUGCACUGAGAAGCUGU